AGAUGGUGGUGAUGAAUAAAAUAAAUGGCUCUCCUUAGGAGCCUUGAAAAUGACUAUGGUUUCUCUGCACUGUGAGAGCGACAUGUGCAGCACCUGGGCAGGCGUGAGGGGUGGACUUACUUUGUGGAACACAUGGGAGCAUGAAAGCAGCACCUGUUCAUGAGGAAACAGAACGACGUUGAAGUUUACAAAAGAGAAGCAGCAUGUAUCCAACAGUUAAAAUCCUGAAUGCUUAGAAGAUGGGGCAUGGUUGCACGGAGUCCCCUUGCAGGAGAGAGCGCUGUUUCACCUUCUCCCAUUCAUCUGAUGACAGUGGAGGUGGUGGAGGCCCAAUGAGGCCCAACUUCUGUGCUAAAGUAAGACAGCACAGGACAGGAGUUAGAGUGUCUUUUAGCAUAUGGCACCCACCUAUAACUUUAAUGACACCAUUUGCAAACAAAGAUUAAAGAACUACAUAUAGAUCACAUACUUUAUUUCACAAUAGAAGCUGUCCAUUGGUAUCCACAGGGAAUGUGUUCCAGGACAUUCCAAGGAUGCUCAAGUCCCUGAUAGAAGAUGGUGGAGUAUUUGCAUACAACCCAUGCAUAUCCUCCUGUAUACUGCCAGUCAUCUCGAUUACCAAUAAUUCCUAAUGCAAGUGCUAUGUAAAUAGCUGUUAUACUAUAUUGUUUUUAAUCUGUAUUAUUUUUAUUAUAUUGUUGUAUUGUUAUUUUUUAUUCAUUUAUUAAAAUUUUGAUCUGUG
ensembl:lncRNA RNF32-AS1 RNF32 antisense RNA 1